GACGAACGCUGGCGGCGUGCUUAACACAUGCAAGUCGUACGGUAAGGCCCUUUCGGGGGUACACGAGUGGCGAACGGGUGAGUAACACGUGAGUAACCUGCCCACAACUUUGGGAUAACGCUAGGAAACUGGUGCUAAUACUUGAUAUGUGCUCCUGCUGCAUGGUGGGGGUUGGAAAGCUCCGGCGGUUGUGGAUGGACUCGCGGCCUAUCAGCUUGUUGGUGGGGUAGUGGCCUACCAAGGCGGCGACGGGUAGCCGGCCUGAGAGGGUGACCGGCAACAUUGGGACUGGGAUACGGCCAAGACUCAGACGGGAGGCAGCAGUGGGGAAUAUUGCACAAUGGGCGCAAGCCUGAUGCAGAAACGCCGCGUGCGGGAUGACGGCCUUCGGGUUGUAAACCGAUUUCAGCAGGGACGAAGCUUUUUGUGACGGUACCUGCAGAAGAAGCACCGGCUAACUCCGUG
rnacentral:rRNA from 1 species